rnacentral:lncRNA from 1 species
AAACUUACUUUACAUUGGAAAAUAAUUUUUUUUUGAAAAUUUACUUAGUUUGGAAACCAAACCCUAACACCUCUUUCCUCUCUCCGCUCCACACCCUAACGCUCUUCCUUUCUUGCUCCACACCCUAACGCUCUUCCUUUCUUGCUCCACACCCUAAUGCCUCUUCUCUUUCUCUCUGCUUCACACGAAACCCUAACGCCUCUUCCAUAUGGCUACUCCACACGAAACCCUAAUGUCUAUGUCUUCUCACAAAACCCCCUGUUCUUCACGAAACUAAAGCUCACUCUCGGGUCCGCCAUCACCACCUCCGUGCAAGGAUUCAACACAAUCAAUCGUUUGUUCAGGUUUGUGCUCGCGCGCCCUAAACUCUAUCUUCAAAAUCUAUUGUUCAAAACCGUGUGUAAUCUAUCGUUGUUCUUAAUUUGUUGUUCUUAAUUUGUGAAGCAAAUAUUGUGUAUGGCUUUGCUACUGUGAUAAAUUUACUGUGUUAGUGUGAAGUGAGGUGAAAACUGGUUCGCUGGUGAGUGUAGUAAUUGAGGGUUUGGAGAGGUGGCAACUGGCAACAGUGGUUCCAUGUCUGAGAAUGUCGAGCUUGGUUGUAGUGGUGUUGGCAGAGGAGUUGCAACUGUGAGGGGAUUUCUUAUGUGAGAUUGAAGAAAAGGAAAUAUCAAAAUAUUAAAAAAGAACUAAUUAUCCCUUCAGAUUUUCGCUGGAAUUCAUUGGAUACAUCCCUGUUCACUUAUAAGUUGAAUAUAUUUUAUUGCUCUGGAAAAUUUAAUAGCAUAUUAGCAAUAUCUGUUGAAUUCAUGGUUAAAACUAUACUAUAGUUGUGGCAUAUUUUUCAUAUAUUGGUUUCACAAUCCUGGGUUUUGUGAAUAUAUUUACAAAGGAAGUAAAUUAUAUUGCAAUACAUGGUCUAAUAUUUCUAUGGUACAACAGGGGUUGUUUACAAAUAUAAAAUUAGCAAUAAUCCUCUGUCACUAGUUUUUGUUAGUGACCAAUAUACUAUAUUCUUAAUUUAGAGACUCUUCAUAUACACAUCUGGUUGUGUUCCCUAGCUGUCUUUGCCUUAUGUUUUUUUUUAUGCUAAUUACUAAACACUUUAUAUCAUAGCUGAUCUUACAUAAAUCUCAAAUAGUCAGGUGUUGGAUUUGAGACUUCUGUUCCAUGUUCUUACAUACUUUGGUUGCCCUCUCUGCUUUGUUGGUGUUGCAUUGGGUUUGUAUUUUUUUUAGUUAUUUAGCAUCUAUUGUAAAUUAUAGCAGUGUGAAAGAGCGGCAUUGUUUAAUGUGUAAUCUAUAUACUCUUUAGCUUAGUGAUGAAGAAUUAUUCUGAUAUAAAUAAUGUCUCUGAAUCUAGGCAAUUCAAGGAAAAAUUGAUUUUGUAGUUUUAUCAUAUAAAAACCAUAAAGUACAGCAUGAGUUUGAACUUUGAAGUGAGGUGAAGAGGAAAAUUUCCUUUCUCAUAAAAGAUAUGUGAUUAUAAGAAAAUAGUCCUAACUAAAUGGCUAGUCAAAGUAUUAAAGUUAUUUUACUUUAUAUAUUGUAUUUUCCUUUACACGACAGCAAGUAGAAAGUUGUAUAUCAAGGGUUGAACAGUCACCGACAGAUUCUAUGCAAAAUGCACUCUCUCCAUCAUUGAAANNNNN